rnacentral:rRNA from 1 species
UGAGCAAUCUGCCCUUCUCUUCGGAAUAAGCGUUGGAAACGACGUCUAAUGCCGAAUACGACCUCCUUUCGCAUGAUCGGAGGUGGAAAGCUCCGGCGGAGAAGGAUGAGCUCGCGGCCUAUCAGCUAGUUGGUGUGGGUAAUGGCCCACCAAGGCGACGACGGGUAGCCGGCCUGAGAGGGUGACCCGGCCACACGUGGGACUGAGACACGGCCCAGACCUCCGUACGGGAGGNAGCG